CGCCUGGGGAGUACGGCCGCAAGGUUAAAACUCAAAUGAAUUGACGGGGGCCCGCACAAGCGGUGGAGCAUGUGGUUUAAUUCGACGCAACGCGAAGAACCUUACCUGGCCUUGACAUCCAGAGAGCUUUCCAGAGAUGGAUUGGUGCCUUCGGGAACUCUGAGACAGGUGCUGCAUGGCCGUCGUCAGCUCGUGUCGUGAGAUGUUGGGUUAAGUCCCGUAACGAGCGCAACCCCUAUCCCUGGUUGCUAGCAGGUAAUGCUGAGAACUCCAGGGAGACUGCCGGUGACAAACCGGAGGAAGGUGGGGAUGACGUCAGGUCAUCAUGGCCCUUACGGCCAGGGCUACACACGUGCUACAAUGGCGCGUACAGAGGGCUGCCAACUCGCGAGAGUGAGCCAAUCCCUUAAAACGCGUCGUAGUCCGGAUCGGAGUCUGCAACUCGACUCCGUGAAGUCGGAAUCGCUAGUAAUCGCGAAUCAGAAUGUCGCGGUGAAUACGUUCCCGGGCCUUGUACUCACCGCCCGUCACACCAUGGGAGUGGAUUGCACCAGAAGUAGUUAGUCUAACCUUCGGGAGGACGAUUACCACGGUGUGGUUCAUGACUGGGGUGAAGUCGUAACAAGGUAACCGUA
rnacentral:rRNA from 1 species